UACGUAGGGUGCAAGCGUUAAUCGGAAUUACUGGGCGUAAAGCGUGCGCAGGCGGUUUGUUAAGUCCGUUGUGAAAGCCCCGAGCUCAACUUGGGAAUUGCAGUGGAUACUGGCAGGCUGGAGUACGGUAGAGGAAGGUGGAAUUCCCGGUGUAGCAGUGAAAUGCGUAGAGAUCGGGAGGAACAUCAGUGGCGAAGGCGGCCAUCUGGGACAACACUGACGCUGAAGCACGAAAGCGUGGGGAGCAAACAGG
rnacentral:rRNA from 1 species